AUUUAUUAAUUUAUAAAAAAUAUUAAUUUAUAGAGUAUUAAUUUAUAGAUGUUAUACUGUAUUAGUAGACUAACGUGUUGUAACUUGUAACAUAGAGGAAAGAAAAAUUAAAAGUUAGAAAAAAAAAUUAUAUCUAUAUUUUUAUUUUUUUGAGCUUUUUUAUAUGAAGAAGAGAAAAUAUCUAAACAUACAGAGGAUAUAAGACAUUUAUACGUCACAACCACUAAACACAAAUGAAUUAAAAAAAAUAUCGGAUCACUAGAUACUUAAUCCAAAAAAAAAAACAGAUUUCCCGUAGCGACAUACAAGUGACCAAAAGAUGUCCUAAUUGCACUUGAAGAAAUAAAAAGACACCUUUACUAAUCUCUUUAGAUUUCCAAAGGACUUUCCAUUUGUUAAGAGAGUUGAGAGCUGACAAAAGAAAGAGAAGACUACGCCUUUGGUCUUUCCAAAAAGCCACACAUAACAGAAUUUUUCAUACUGACAAUCACUUUUUCCAAGUGUUGAGAAACAGCACUCUCAAUCACUCACUUGAAACAGAUGACCCUAGCUUCGUUCAACUUGGAAACAAAGGCAAAUAAUCUCAUGCUAUGAAGAAUAACCUCUCUAUGGUGAUCCCGAAUAACCUAAGCACCUCCCAAUAUAUGAUUCUUCUGAUAAGAUCAUAACAAGAGUCAUGACAUCGUGUGUUCUCCACUUGUUUACCAUGUUCCAUAUUUGUUUAGUUGGCAUUAUUCACUUGACAUCUUUUGUGUAUUUAAGUGAUCGAGUGUUUUAUUCAAUAGAUAUGAAAAGAAAAUUGAAGUAAAUUGUUUCUUAAGUCUUAGGGAUCCAUCAUUAGGUAUCAGAGCAAACUCUCUUAGCUUUGAGGAAGGGCCUUAAUCGGCAUCCAAGCACAUUUUUGUUUUUGAUCUGGACCACUUUGUGGUAUCAAAAACUCCUAUCUCUGUUUUGAUUCGGACCACAAUUUGUGGUAUCAAAACUUCUAUUCAAAAAAAAAACCGUUCUCCUUGUAGUGCACGUAUGAACAGCUUGACAACCGUUUGAGCAUGGAAGAUGUGAAGAUCAAUCCUCCUUGUAGUGCAUGAUGAGUUGCAGAAAUUGAAGCAUGUUAUGAUGAAUGAAUUCAAACGUCUGCGGCAAGUCAUGAGUCGUCCGGUGAAAAUUACCGAAACUAUCAAAAUCAAUGGUGAUAAAGACUUGGCGGUUCAAGGAUGUUCAUGCUUUGCUUCUUCACCAAGAAACAAUGAGUUAUUCAAAGAAUCCAUUGAUGUGUCCCAUGAUGAAGCUCUAAUCGCACAGUUUUGGAUCUAGACCGUUGCUCACAAAACACAUUGGCAUGUCAAUUCUGAUCUGACGCGUCCAAUCCAAAGCCAUGAACCACUGACCCCAACGCCAAAGAAGCUCAGCCAAGACGAACCAGUUUCUGGUAAACCACCACCAUUACGUGACAAGAACCUUGAGGAUAAGGUUCUUUGGAGGUUGGAGAACCAAAAAUUUAGUUUUGUCCGCCAAACACUAAAAAAUCAUUCCUGAAAAAAAAAUAAAAAAUUCUACUUCUCUCUUGUAUUUAUUUUUUUCUUUUCUUUUCUCAAAUUGAGAUCGAAGAAUAUUAGUGGAGGAGGAGGAGCGUAAGCCACGAAGGAGCUGCUGUCGGAGUUGCGUGACGGUAACACCGUCGCUCCUCACCACCUCCACCACCACCGCAUCUCAGAUCUUAAGACGGAUGGUUCAGCGGAGACAGUCGACCGGUUCCGUUUCCGGCGAGUAGUCUUCCUGGAACGUCACCGUUUGGGUGAUUAAAAAAGCCCCUCCCCUUCUCAUGGCCAUCAAUGGCUAGACUCUUUGCCCAUCUCCCUUCGUCCUCCUCUUCUUUCGAUUUCACCAAUGGUGGAGAUGCUCAUAUCAUAAGCUUAGACAAUAUGUAAAUUCUAGGGUUUGGAUUCAUUAAUCUGGAUUUUGAAUUGAAUUAUGGAUUAUUGAUUCGGCUUUUUGAUUUUGAGCUCGUGCUUAUUGAGGGUCAUGAGAUUUUAUGUUUCACCAGAGAACAACUGCUUCAGCUUAAAGAGGCAAUCCAAGUCUCUGGGGCAUCUGAUCUUUUCGGCGAAGAGCAGAGCUGGGGCCGUUCGGUGAGGAGAUGAAGAAUCAAUUGAUCUAGGAUUGUUAGAAUAGGGAUAUAUCAUUUGAUUCUUCAUUUACUGUUGUUCUUACUGAUGUAACUCGAUUGAUCACCUAGUUACGAUAACAUAAACAUAUUAUAUAAUACACUGAAAGUGUUUGUUUAAA